GCCGCUUUAGUUUGCAAGCAGUGCAAAGUUAUUCUUUCUCUUGCAAAAUAAAUUCUAUUUCCUAUAGAAUCUAAAUUUUCAUAGGAAAGCCCAGAUGUUUUGUUGUGCUUUUCUAAAUAAGAUACAUAUUUGUUUAUACAUAUCUCAUCCCAAGGUGGGGGUAAUUUAUGAAAGUAUUGGUUUUUCCAAAACUCUAUAUUUUCAUUUUUUAAUUUCUG
rnacentral:lncRNA from 1 species